rnacentral:tRNA from 1 species
ACUGAUUUGUAAUCAGUAGGUCGACGGUUCGAGUCCGUCAGCCGGCUCCA